AUUCCAGCUCCAAUAGCGUAUAUUAAAGUUGUUGUGGUUAAAAAGCUCGUGGUUGGAUCUCAACAGCCUUGAAGCGGUUAACUUUGUAGUUUUACUGCUUUAUAGGCUGUGCUUUUGCUGGAGGUUUAGGGGUGCUCUUGAUCGAGUGUCUCUGGAUGCCAGCAGGUUUACUUUGAAAAAAUUAGAGUGCUCAAAGCAGGCUAAAAUGCCUGAAUAUUCGUGCAUGGAAUAAUAGAAUAGGAUGUCGAUCCUAUUUUGUUGGUUUUCGGGACUCGACAUAAUGAUAAAUAGGGACAGUCGGGGGCAUUUGUAUUCAAACGACAGAGGUGAAAUUCUUGGACCGUUUGAAGACAAACUACUGCGAAAGCAUUUGCCAAGAAUGUUUUCAUCA
rnacentral:rRNA from 1 species